rnacentral:rRNA from 1 species
UACGGAGGGUGCAAGCGUUAUCCGGAUUCACUGGGUUUAAAGGGAGCGUAGGCGGGCUUGUAAGUCCGUGGUGAAAGCCCUCAGCUUAACUGAGGAACUGCCAUGGAUACUAUAAGUCUUGAAUGAUGUGGAGGUUUGCGGAAUAGGUCAUGUAGCGGUGAAAUGCUUAGAUAUGACCUAGAACACCUAUUGCGAAGGCAGCAGGCUACACAUAAAUUGACGCUGAGGCUCGAAAGCGUGGGGAUCAAACAGG